rnacentral:rRNA from 1 species
UACGUAGGGGGCAAGCGUUGUCCGGAUUUAUUGGGCGUAAAGAGCGUGUAGGCGGCCACACAGGUCAGCUGUGAAAACUCGAGGCUCAACCUCGAGACGUCGGUUGAAACCGUAUGGCUAGAGUCCGGAAGAGGAGAGUGGAAUUCCCGGUGUAGAGGUGAAAUUCGUAGAUAUCGGGAGGAACACCAGUGGCGAAGGCGGCGAUCUGGGUCGAGUACUGACGCUGAGGUGCGAAAGCGUGGGGAGCAAACAGGG